UGUGCUGCCUGUCAGCUGAUGGAGGGAUGGCCCCAGCAGUUAUCUGGAGAUUACACAAUCUGGCUCUGUCUGAAAGGACAGUUUGGUUUGGUUGGUGCACUUCUGGAUGAGUGUGAGCUGGGAGCUGGCAGGCAGCACUUUGGCAGUUUUACCCCAGAGGUGGACUGGACCCACUCUGCUCCCACAGUUCAUUACCAGAAUUUUCUGCACUUCAGUGCAAAUGACAUCGUGUCUGGUUAUUACCUUUAAAGGCCUGGAUGCUGCUUUAGAAACAUCAAUUUAAUUUUUAUCCUUCAGGA